GCAGAAUUAUUGACGAAUGGUGACAUAAUCUAUUGCUGACAUAUGAGGAAAAGAGCCUGCUAGUAGAAACGUGUUAACUUGUCGCCAACUUUCCCACUCUUGUUGCGCAAUUCGUGUCGCACGCGUGGAUAGCUGGAUUGAUCAGCUCGCUCUGAAACUUCUGAGAUAAAAUGAGAUAUAUGCGAGGGUGCGAGCAAAAUCCACUGCGCGGAGACGGAUCUCACUGAAACAAUUGCUGCAAGAUAAUUAAAUUAUCACGACAUUAAACAUUUGCAGUCAACAUAUAUCGUUCCCCACCACACAUGUAUGUGUUACACAUGUGGCUUACUUCGUGAAUAGAGGGGCGUACUGGAACUGGCCUAGGAACAUAUUGCGAAACUGGUCUGGAUCCAAAGAUAUAAUAUCAAAGAAUCGAUAUGUGGCCUAAAGAUCAAUGUAUCUUUAGAAGGCGGAAUUUAUCCGCACUGAACCGGGACGGAAACAAAAGUAUGCUUGUUGUCUACCGUAACGGAUUUAUUGUGAAGUAAAGCACUGGAGUGCACAAGCGUAUUCACGUUUAUAGGUCACGGUGUCAACAGGGUAAAGAAAGGAGAAGCUAGGAUGAAAUGGGCCGUGAAGACCCUUUUCUUAUCCUCUCUCUCUCUCUCUCUCUCU